rnacentral:misc_RNA from 1 species
GAUGAAGAACGUAGCGAAAUGCGAUAAGUAAUGUGAAUUGCAGAAUUCAGUGAAUCAUCGAAUCUUUGAACGCAUCUUGCGCUACUUGGUAUUCUGAGGAGCAUGCCUGUUUGAGUGUCAUUAAAUUCUCAACUACACUGACUUUGAAUUGGUGUGGCUUGGAUUUGGGGGGGAAAAUUGUUGUGGGCUUUUUGUAUAGUCUGCUCCCCUGAAAUUGAUUAGCGGUACCUUUGUGGAACUGUCUACAGGUGUGAUAAUUAUCUACAUCUUAGACAUCUGCUGGAAUGCUGCUUUCUAAACCUUACUUGUAUUGACAAUCUUGACCUCAAAUCAGGUAGGACUACCCGCUGAACUUAAGCAUAUCAAUAAGCGGAGGA